AGUGAACGCUGGCGGCAGGCCUAACACAUGCAAGUCGAGCGGCAGCGCGGGGGCAACCCUGGCGGCGCGCGGCGGACGGGUGAGGAAUUCGUCGGAAGCUGCCUUUUCGUUGGGGAUAACGUAGGGAAACUUACGCUAAUACCGCAUACGUCCUACUGGAGAAAGUGGGGGACCGCAAGGCCUCACGCAGAAAGAUGAGCCGACGACCGAUUAGCUAGUUGGUGGGGUAAAGGCCCACCAAGGCGACGAUCGGUAGCUGGUCUGCGAGGAUGAUCAGCCACACUGGGACUGAGACACGGCCCAGACUCCUACGGGAGGCAGCAGUGGGGAAUAUUGGACAAUGGGCGCAAGCCUGAUCCAGCCAUGCCGCGUGUGUGAAGAAGGCCUUCGGGUUGUAAAGCACUUUUGUCCGGAAAGAAAUCCCUGGAGCUAAUACCUUCGGGGGAUGACGGUACCGGAAGAAUAAGCACCGGCUAACUUCGUG
rnacentral:rRNA from 1 species